rnacentral:rRNA from 1 species
UAGGGAAUAUUGGUAAUGUGCGAAAGCGCGAACCAGCAACGCCGCGUGUGCGAUGACGGCCUUCGGGUUGUAAAGCACUUUUUAAGGGGAUGAGGAAGGACAGUACCCUUUGAAUAAGCCUCGGCUAACUACGUGCCAGCAGCCGCGGUAAAACGUCGGAGGCGAGCGUUAUCCGGAUUGAGUGGGCGUAAAGCGUGUGUAGGCGGUUUGAUAAGUUGGAUGUGAAAGCUCCUGGCUUAACUGGGGGAGGUCGUUCAAAACUAUCAGACUUGAGAGUGGUAGAGGGAGGUGGAAUUCCGGGUGUAGUGGUGAAAUGCGUAGAUAUCCGGAGGAACACCAGUGGCGAAAGCGGCCUCCUGGCCCAUUUCUGACGCUCAGACACGAAAGCUAAGGUAGCAAACG